ACGGGGUGCAGNNNNNGCGAAACCUCCGCAAUGCGGGAAACCGCGACGGGGUCAGCCGGAGUGCUCGCGCAUCGCGCGGGCUGUCGGGGUGCCUAAAAAGCACCCCACAGCAAGGGCCGGGCAAGGCCGGUGGCAGCCGCCGCGGUAAUACCGGCGGCCCGAGUGGCGGCCACUUUUAUUGGGCCUAAAGCGUCCGUAGCCGGGCUGGUAAGUCCUCCGGGAAAUCUGGUCGCUCAACGAUCAGACUUCCGGAGGAUACUGCCAGCCUAGGGACCGGGAGAGGCCGGGGGUAUUCCCGGGGUAGGGGUGAAAUCCUGUAAUCCCGGGAGGACCACCUGUGGCGAAGGCGCCCGGCUGGAACGGGUCCGACGGUGAGGGACGAAGGCCAGGGGAGCGAACCGGAUUAGAUACCCGGGUAGUCCUGGCUGUAAACGAUGCGGACUAGGUGUCACCGGAGCUACGAGCUCCGGUGGUGCCGGAGGGAAGCCGUUAAGUCCGCCGCCUGGGGAGUACGGCCGCAAGGCUGAAACUUAAAGGAAUUGGCGGGGGAGCAC
rnacentral:rRNA from 1 species